UGGAGAGUUUGAUCCUGGCUCAGACUUGAACCCUGCGCCGCAGGCCUAACACACGCAAGUCGAGCGGUAGAGAGGUGCUUGCACCUCUUGAGAGCGGCGGACGGGUGAGUAAUACCUAGGAAUCUGCCUGGUAGUGGGGGAUAACGUUCGGAAACGGACGCUAAUACCGCAUACGUCCUACGGGAGAAAGCAGGGGACCUUCGGGCCUUGCGCUAUCAGAUGAGCCUAGGUCGGAUUAGCUAGUUGGUGAGGUAAUGGCUCACCAAGGCUACGAUCCGUAACUGGUCUGAGAGGAUGAUCAGUCACACUGGAACUGAGACACGGUCCAGACUCCUACGGGAGGCAGCAGUGGGGAAUAUUGGACAAUGGGCGAAAGCCUGAUCCAGCCAUGCCGCGUGUGUGAAGAAGGUCUUCGGAUUGUAAAGCACCUUAAGCUGGGAGGAAGGGCAUUACACCUAAUACGUUAGGUGUCUUGACGUUACCAACAGAAUAAGCGGACAGGAUAACUCUGUGCCAGCAGCCGCGGUA
rnacentral:rRNA from 1 species